UAAAAUAAAAUGAAAAAUUUUAGUAUAAAAAUAAAAAAUUAUUUAAUUUAUAAUAAGAUUAAUUGGUAAUCCUCGAGAGAUCGCUAAUCGAACCUUCCUUACUUGGUACCUGCAUUGUCCAACAACCAAAAAUUCUGUAAUUGGAUUUGCGGUCUUGUUCUUUCCUUAAAUAUGGCAGAUCAUUCAAUGAUCAGUUUACCGUCACUCAACCAAUUCCAAAUUAAUUACAUGUGCACACCAAAAAUCAACACUUAGUCAAAAUAUAGCUUAUUCAGUAUUCACCCAACCUUCACGACUAUAAGUGUUCCACACUUAGAAAAAUACGCUCCUUGCUGAAUUAAACCUCUCACGAUCAUUUCUUAAUAAUUAAAAAUACUUCGGGAGCGGAUCGGUACAAUAUUUUGGGAACCAAAAUUCGUACUGUCGAUUUUUGUUAAUGGAAGAAAGCCAAGAUUCUCGACUCUCUCUAAGGAUCCUGAUUAUCUGUUUAAACACAGGAAUACGAAGAAGAAAGAGAUAACAAAAUAUCGAUAGUAAAUUGCACAUAUGCAUUUUAUUAAAUAUAAGGUUAGCAGAGUCUAGGGUCCACC
rnacentral:lncRNA from 1 species